UAGGGAAUCUUCGGCAAUGGGCGGAACCCUGACUGAGCAACGCCGCGUGAGUGAAGAAGGUUUUCGGAUCGUAAAGCUCUGUUGUUAAGUAAGAACGAGUGUGAGAAUGGAAAGUUCAUACUGUGACGGUACUUAACCAGAAAGGGACGGCUAACUACGUGCCAGCAGCCGCGGUAAUACGUAGGUCCCGAGCGUUGUCCGGAUUUAUUGGGCGUAAAGCGAGCGCAGGCGGUCAAUUAAGUCUGAUGUGAAAGCCCACGGCUCAACCGUGGAGGGUCAUUGGAAACUGGAAAACUUGAGUGCAGAAGAGGAAAGUGGAAUUCCAUGUGUAGCGGUGAAAUGCGCAGAGAUAUGGAGGAACACCAGUGGCGAAGGCGACUCUCUGGUCUGUAACUGACGCGGAGGCUCGAAAGCGUGGGUAGCAAACAGG
rnacentral:rRNA from 1 species